AGAAGACCUCUUGGUUGCCAGGCCCAGCCUCCUAUUUGGAACAAGCUAAUGACAAUGGCACACAGUUGUUGUUAUGUGCCUUCAAGUAGACCACCACUUUUGAUGACCCUGUGAAUCAGCAACCUCCGACAUCAUCUGUCAUGAACCACCCUGUUCAGAUCUUUCCAUGGUAUGUGCAAAGCUCUCCUACAGUAGUGAUUCCAAAAGAAGACCGCAGCAGUGCCUUGGGAACUUAAGCCACCAUGUUGAAGCAGUGACGGAGACCAGAUCUGGAAGGGCCACCUGCUGCAGCUGCUUGCAAAAGCUGAGAAGGUUCAUCAGCAGGUGUCACAAAGAAAUCCAGCCAGACCAGAGGAGCUGGCACUUCAUUUCAGUGGCUUCGCUGGGCAGAAUUCAGCUCAAAUAUCAAACUAUAAUCACAUCUCUUCCCCACCAGUGGUCUCUCCUGCCAGAAGAUUUUUAUGUUACAUGCAAAGGUUUCCACAUAAAAUAUUGGAAACAAAUGUUAUUGUGGUUUUGUGUGUGUGUAUGUUUUACGCAGGAUGGGGAGGGGGUGAAUACAAAGAAGAGAGGAGGUAAAGAAAGAUCCCUUUUCUCCAUGUAUUUUAUCUCCAUUAAAUAUCAUGUCAGGCUCUAAUAAAAGAGGCUUUAUUUUUGGAACAGAGUAGAUGACUCCAUGUCCUAUAAAAUGCUUAAAAUGCAAAGAGCGUGGAAUGGGUUUGAGUUGUACAAGUGGCACUCUGGAUUUCCUUCUAGGGCUGGCCAAAGAGAGAAGAUUUCAACUAUAAAAACUAUAAAGCAUUUAAAACAUUACUGUACUGUAUUAGUCCAGGAGUAGCCAGAGCGAUGAUACCCCCCACCCAGGUGUUACUGGAUGGCAAUUCCAGCCCCAAUCAGUAUGGCCAAUGGUCAGGGAUGACAGGAGUUGUAGCCCAACAACAUCUGGAUGGCGCAAUGUUGGCUACCCCUGCAGUAGGCCAACAGAUGGAUCUUCUCUCUCUUAACAUCUGCAUUUGCAAUGCGAGAUCUGUGCAGGAGAUUGGCAGUUGACAAAGGUGCACAGGUUUUCAGUCAUCU